AUUACUUUGAAAAAUUUUCAAAGUCAAUAGACCAUGACUAAAGGGGUGGAGCCAAAUUAUCUCCAUGGAAAUGAUAUAUGCCAAUGCUUGUACAACUGCUUAUCCAAAUAUCAUUGACCUCCUAUUUGUGGUUCCACAUAAACUGACCUAAUCACUAACUAAUACAUGUUAAAUUAGCAAAAGUUUCUAAGUCAAUAGACCAUGACUGAAGGGGCAAGGUCAAAUAAUCUCCAUGGAAAUGAGAUGUGCCAAUGCUUAUACAACUGCAUACCAAAAAUGAUUGACCUACCACUUGUGGUUCACCAUAAACUAGACCUAAUCACAAACUAAUACAUUGUUGACGCCAAAGGCGUGGGAAACAGCAUACCUAUGUCUCGCUUGUUGACUCCGUCAAGGCGAG
rnacentral:lncRNA from 1 species